GUGCUCCUUGCGGCAGCACAUAUACCUAAAACUGGAAUGAUGCAGAGAAGAUUAUCACAGACCCUGGGCAAGGAUGACACACAAGUUUGUGAAUGUUCGAUAUUUUUU
ensembl:snRNA U6 U6 spliceosomal RNA